UACAGAGGUCUCAAGCGUUGUUCGGAUUCAUUGGGCGUAAAGGGUGCGUAGGUGGCGGGGUAAGUCAGGUGUGAAAUUUCGGAGCUUAACUCCGAAACUGCAUUUGAUACUGCCUUGCUUGAGGACUGGAGAGGAGACUGGAAUUCACGGUGUAGCAGUGAAAUGCGUAGAUAUCGUGAGGAAGACCAGUGGCGAAGGCGGGUCUCUGGACAGUUCCUGACACUGAGGCGCGAGAGCGUGGGGAGCAAACAGG
rnacentral:rRNA from 1 species